AAUCAACGCUGGCGGCGUGCCUAACACAUGCAAGUCGAACGAGAAAGGGGAGCAAUCCCUGAGUAAAGUGGCGACCGGGUGAGUAACACGUGACUAACCUACCCUCGAGUGUGGAAUAACAUCGGGAAACCGAUGCUAAUACCGCAUAACAUCGCAAGAUCAAAGGAGCAAUCCGCUUGAGGAGGGGGUCGCGGCUGAUUAGCUAGUUGGCGGGGUAACGGCCCACCAAGGCGAAGAUCGGUAGCCGGCCUGAGAGGGCGCACGGCCACA
rnacentral:rRNA from 1 species